rnacentral:rRNA from 1 species
GAUUACGGCCAUACCACACUGACAAUGCCCGAUCUCGUCUGAUCUCGGAAGCUAAGCAGAGUUGGGCUGGGUCAGUACUUGGAUGGGUGACCGCCUGGGAAUACCCGGUGCUGUAAGCA